AGGGAAUCUUCCACAAUGGACGCAAGUCUGAUGGAGCAACGCCGCGUGAGUGAAGAAGGUCUUCGGAUCGUAAAGCUCUGUUGUUGGUGAAGAAGGAUAGAGGCAGUAACUGGUCUUUAUUUGACGGUAAUCAACCAGAAAGUCACGGCUAACUACGUGCCAGCAGCCGCGGUAAUACGUAGGUGGCAAGCGUUGUCCGGAUUUAUUGGGCGUAAAGCGAGCGCAGGCGGAAUGAUAAGUCUGAUGUGAAAGCCCACGGCUCAACCGUGGAACUGCAUCGGAAACUGUCAUUCUUGAGUGCAGAAGAGGAGAGUGGAACUCCAUGUGUAGCGGUGGAAUGCGUAGAUAUAUGGAAGAACACCAGCGGCGAAGGCGGCUCUCUGGCCUGCAACUGACGCUGAGGCUCGAAAGCAUGGGUAGCGAACAGGAUUAGAUACCCUGGUAGUCCAUGCCGUAAACGAUGAGCGCUAGGUGUUGGGGACUUUCCGGUCCUCAGUGCCGCAGCAAACGCAUUAAGCGCUCCGCCUGGGGA
rnacentral:rRNA from 1 species